GGGUUGUGAGGUUAAGCGACUAAGCGUACACGGUGGAUGCCCUGGCAGUCAGAGGCGAUGAAGGACGUGCUAAUCUGCGAUAAGCGUCGGUGAGGUGAUAUGAACCGUUAUAACCGGCGAUUUCCGAAUGGGGAAACCCAGUGUGUUUCGACACACUAUCAUUAACUGAAUCCAUAGGUUAAUGAGGCGAACCGGGGGAACUGAAACAUCUAAGUACCCCGAGGAAAAGAAAUCAACCGAGAUUCCCCCAGUAGCGGCGAGCGAACGGGGAGGAGCCCAGAGCCUGAAUCAGUGUGUGUGUUAGUGGAAGCGUCUGGAAAGGCGCGCGAUACAGGGUGACAGCCCCGUACACAAAAAUGCACAUAUUGUGAGCUCGAUGAGUAGGGCGGGACACGUGGUAUCCUGUCUGAAUAUGGGGGGACCAUCCUCCAAGGCUAAAUACUCCUGACUGACCGAUAGUGAACCAGUACCGUGAGGGAAAGGCGAAAAGAACCCCGGCGAGGGGAGUGAAAAAGAACCUGAAACCGUGUACGUACAAGCAGUGGGAGCCUCUUAAUGGGGUGACUGCGUACCUUUUGUAUAAUGGGUCAGCGACUUAUAUUCUGUAGCAAGGUUAACCGAAUAGGGGAGCCGAAGGGAAACCGAGUCUUAACUGGGCGUUAAGUUGCAGGGUAUAGACCCGAAACCCGGUGAUCUAGCCAUGGGCAGGUUGAAGGUUGGGUAACACUAACUGGAGGACCGAACCGACUAAUGUUGAAAAAUUAGCGGAUGACUUGUGGCUGGGGGUGAAAGGCCAAUCAAACCGGGAGAUAGCUGGUUCUCCCCGAAAGCUAUUUAGGUAGCGCCUCGUGAAUUCAUCUCCGGGGGUAGAGCACUGUUUCGGCAAGGGGGUCAUCCCGACUUACCAACCCGAUGCAAACUGCGAAUACCGGAGAAUGUUAUCACGGGAGACACACGGCGGGUGCUAACGUCCGUCGUGAAGAGGGAAACAACCCAGACCGCCAGCUAAGGUCCCAAAGUCAUGGUUAAGUGGGAAACGAUGUGGGAAGGCCCAGACAGCCAGGAUGUUGGCUUAGAAGCAGCCAUCAUUUAAAGAAAGCGUAAUAGCUCACUGGUCGAGUCGGCCUGCGCGGAAGAUGUAACGGGGCUAAACCAUGCACCGAAGCUGCGGCAGCGACACUAUGUGUUGUUGGGUAGGGGAGCGUUCUGUAAGCCUGUGAAGGUGUGCUGUGAGGCAUGCUGGAGGUAUCAGAAGUGCGAAUGCUGACAUAAGUAACGAUAAAGCGGGUGAAAAGCCCGCUCGCCGGAAGACCAAGGGUUCCUGUCCAACGUUAAUCGGGGCAGGGUGAGUCGACCCCUAAGGCGAGGCCGAAAGGCGUAGUCGAUGGGAAACAGGUUAAUAUUCCUGUACUUGGUGUUACUGCGAAGGGGGGACGGAGAAGGCUAUGUUGGCCGGGCGACGGUUGUCCCGGUUUAAGCGUGUAGGCUGGUUUUCCAGGCAAAUCCGGAAAACCAAGGCUGAGGCGUGAUGACGAGGCACUACGGUGCUGAAGUGACAAAUGCCCUGCUUCCAGGAAAAGCCUCUAAGCAUCAGGUAACAUCAAAUCGUACCCCAAACCGACACAGGUGGUCAGGUAGAGAAUACCAAGGCGCUUGAGAGAACUCGGGUGAAGGAACUAGGCAAAAUGGUGCCGUAACUUCGGGAGAAGGCACGCUGAUAUGUAGGUGAAGCGACUUGCUCGUGGAGCUGAAAUCAGUCGAAGAUACCAGCUGGCUGCAACUGUUUAUUAAAAACACAGCACUGUGCAAACACGAAAGUGGACGUAUACGGUGUGACGCCUGCCCGGUGCCGGAAGGUUAAUUGAUGGGGUUAGCGGUAACGCGAAGCUCUUGAUCGAAGCCCCGGUAAACGGCGGCCGUAACUAUAACGGUCCUAAGGUAGCGAAAUUCCUUGUCGGGUAAGUUCCGACCUGCACGAAUGGCGUAAUGAUGGCCAGGCUGUCUCCACCCGAGACUCAGUGAAAUUGAACUCGCUGUGAAGAUGCAGUGUACCCGCGGCAAGACGGAAAGACCCCGUGAACCUUUACUAUAGCUUGACACUGAACAUUGAGCCUUGAUGUGUAGGAUAGGUGGGAGGCUUUGAAGUGUGGACGCCAGUCUGCAUGGAGCCGACCUUGAAAUACCACCCUUUAAUGUUUGAUGUUCUAACGUUGGCCCGUAAUCCGGGUUGCGGACAGUGUCUGGUGGGUAGUUUGACUGGGGCGGUCUCCUCCUAAAGAGUAACGGAGGAGCACGAAGGUUGGCUAAUCCUGGUCGGACAUCAGGAGGUUAGUGCAAUGGCAUAAGCCAGCUUGACUGCGAGCGUGACGGCGCGAGCAGGUGCGAAAGCAGGUCAUAGUGAUCCGGUGGUUCUGAAUGGAAGGGCCAUCGCUCAACGGAUAAAAGGUACUCCGGGGAUAACAGGCUGAUACCGCCCAAGAGUUCAUAUCGACGGCGGUGUUUGGCACCUCGAUGUCGGCUCAUCACAUCCUGGGGCUGAAGUAGGUCCCAAGGGUAUGGCUGUUCGCCAUUUAAAGUGGUACGCGAGCUGGGUUUAGAACGUCGUGAGACAGUUCGGUCCCUAUCUGCCGUGGGCGCUGGAGAACUGAGGGGGGCUGCUCCUAGUACGAGAGGACCGGAGUGGACGCAUCACUGGUGUUCGGGUUGUCAUGCCAAUGGCACUGCCCGGUAGCUAAAUGCGGAAGAGAUAAGUGCUGAAAGCAUCUAAGCACGAAACUUGCCCCGAGAUGAGUUCUCCCUGAGACUUAGAGUCUCCUGAAGGAACGUUGAAGACGACGACGUUGAUAGGCCGGGUGUGUAAGCGCAGCGAUGCGUUGAGCUAACCGGUACUAAUGAACCGUGAGGCUUAACCUUACAACGCCGAAG
rnacentral:rRNA from 1 species